CCUACGGGGGGCAGCAGUGAGGAAUAUUGGUCAAUGGGCGCGAGCCUGAACCAGCCAAGUAGCGUGAAGGAUGACUGCCCUACGUAUUGUAAACUUCUUUUGUCAAGGAAUAAAGUGAGGCACGAGUGCCUGUUUGUGUGUACUUUAUGAAUAAGGAUCGGCUAACUCCGUGCCAGCAGCCGCGGUAAUACGGAGGAUCCGAGCGUUAUCCGGAUUUAUUGGGUUUAAAGGGAGCGUAGAUGGGUUGUUAAGUCAGUUGUGAAAGUUUGGGGCUCAACCGUAACAGUGCAAUUGAAACUGGCAGCCUUGAGUACAGUAGAGGUAGGCGGAAUGCGUGGUGUAGCGGUGAAAUGCUUAGAUAUCACGAAGAACUCCGAUUGCGAAGGCAGCGUACUAAACUGACACUGACAUUGAGGCUCGAAAGUGUGGGUAUCAAACAGGAUUAGAUACCCUAGUAGUC
rnacentral:rRNA from 1 species